rnacentral:rRNA from 1 species
GCGGUUUUUUUUUCAUUUUAACCCCCCGGGGGUCAAAAAAAAAAAAAAAAUUUUUUGGGUUUUUUUUCCUCUGCUCAGGACGAACGCUGGCGGCGUGCCUAAUACAUGCAAGUCGAGCGGACCGAACGAGGGCUUGCUCUGGUUCGGUCAGCGGCGGACGGGUGAGUAACACGUGGGCAACCUGCCCGCAAGACCGGGAUAACUCCGGGAAACCGGAGCUAAUACCGGAUAACACCGAAGACCGCAUGGUCUUCGGUUGAAAGGCGGCCUUUGGGCUGUCACUUGCGGAUGGGCCCGCGGCGCAUUAGCUAGUUGGUGAGGUAACGGCUCACCAAGGCGACGAUGCGUAGCCGGCCUGAGAGGGUGACCGGCCACACUGGGACUGAGACACGGCCCAGACUCCUACGGGAGGCAGCAGUAGGGAAUCUUCCGCAAUGGGCGAAAGCCUGACGGAGCGACGCCGCGUGAGCGAAGAAGGCCUUCGGGUCGUAAAGCUCUGUUGUGAGGGACGAAGGAGCGCCGUUCGAAGAGGGCGGCGCGGUGACGGUACCUCACGAGAAAGCCCCGGCUAACUACGUGCCAGCAGCCGCGGUAAUACGUAGGGGGCGAGCGUUGUCCGGAAUUAUUGGGCGUAAAGCGCGCGCAGGCGGUCUCUUAAGUCUGAUGUGAAAGCCCACGGCUCAACCGUGGAGGGUCAUUGGAAACUGGGGGACUUGAGGGCAGGAGAGGAGAGCGGAAUUCCACGUGUAGCGGUGAAAUGCGUAGAGAUGUGGAGGAACACCAGUGGCGAAGGCGGCUCUCUGGCCUGCACCUGACGCUGAGGCGCGAAAGCGUGGGGAGCAAACAGGAUUAGAUACCCUGGUAGUCCACGCCGUAAACGAUGAGUGCUAAGUGUUAGAGGGGUCACACCCUUUAGUGCUGCAGCUAACGCGAUAAGCACUCCGCCUGGGAGACGCCGACCGG